GAUGAACGCUGGCGGCGUGCCUAAUACAUGCAAGUCGAGCGAACAGAUGAGGAGCUUGCUCCUCUGACGUUAGCGGCGGACGGGUGAGUAACACGUGGUUAACCUACCUAUAAGACUGGGAUAACUUCGGGAAACCGGAGCUAAUACCGGAUAAUAUAUUGAACCGCAUUGUGCAAUAGUUGAAGACGGUUUUGCUGUCACUUAUAGCUGAAUCCGCCCCGUAUUAGCUAGUUGGUAAGGUAGCGGCUUACCAAGGCAACGAUGCGUAGCCGACCUGAGAGGGUGAUCGGCCACACUGGAACUGAGGCACGGUCCAGACUCCUACGGGAGGCAGCAGUAGGGAAUCUUCCGCAAUGGGCGAAAGCGUGACGGAGCAACGCCGCGUGAGUGAUGAAGGUCUUCGGAUCGUAAAACUCUGUUAUUAGGGAAGAACAAAUGUGUAAGUAACUAUGCACGUCUUGACGGUACCUAAUCAGAAAGCCACGGCUAACUACGUG
rnacentral:rRNA from 1 species